UGGUUGAGCCUGCUGGAAAGCCCAUUGGCCCCCCAAUCCCCACAGCCGCACGCCGCACCUCUCCCUCCUCCGGUCCUCCCUCGUCUCAGCCGCCACCCCCACGAACCCUAGCCGCGCCCUCCUGCAUCUGUCCUCCUGCCCCUGGUCUGCCCCAAGCCCCUCCUCAUCUCCUUGUCGCACCCACCUCAUCACCAGCGACGGCCGCCCUGGACGCAUGAGCUAGCCGAGGAAAAGCGGGGUGGCGCGACGGCGUCGGCCGGCGGGGAGCCUGCGUACCGCGAGCCGCCCGACCUCCUUCCGUGGAUCUGCUCCUCCCAUUUCCUUUUCGUUGAUUUGCCUUUUUUGUUCGCGGCAAAUCUGCCAUGGUAAGGAGGGCCAAGUUCUGGACAGGGCGCCUCAACCUCGCCUUCCUCUUCCACCUGCUCGCUGAUAGAGAGACAGCGGCAGCGGUGGGAGGAGCCUGGGCGUAGAGGGGAGAAGUGACGAGGGGGUGCAGAGCCAGGAGAUGGGGGUUCCUGGAUGAGCACAGCGGCACAGGGCCUGGUCCCGCCGCUGCGAGAGCAGAGUGGAGGACCACACGGGGCCGCGAUGGGGUGGCAUCCGGCGAGACAAGCAGCUCCCAAGCAGGGAAUGCAGCGGUGCUGGCCUCUCCUCUCCCCGCGCCGCUGCUGUCCUGCGUCGUCACUGCCGCCACGGCCUUGCUCGCCAUUGACCUCCCCAAGUGCUUCUCUCCACAAAUGGUGCCGCCAUGUCCAGAUCAAUUUAAGCGUCGGGAAAACACAACACGUGCACGUAACUUGUUUGAGGAAAUUCCAUCUGGAAGCAAUAUUUGAUCAUGACUUGUGUUCUUGAUGCUUCAUCUGCGGCUAGCUGACUACAACAGCACAGAUGUAAAGGGAAACCAUCUUAAGAAACACAGAAUCCCUCUAAAACCAACCAGCUACAAAUAUGAAAUGGCAUUGCAUUGUUACAUCAGUGGUAAGUUCCUAUGCGUACUCUCUGUUUCUCGGGAAUUGGUUGAAAGUGUUUCUUCUGGCCUUUUUCGGAAGACAUUGCAUUGUUGAAGGAGUCCAUUGGGGACUGGAGUCGAUGGCCUACAACAUGGGCAGACACGUGUGCUUCAUGAUUGUUGUUGGUUAACUGAGAGUAUAUGAUGCUUUGAAGGAAUGAUGUGCAUAAUUCAGACUAAAUCUUGCUGGUGAUAGUGAGGAGUUUAUUUUGCUGUAGCACUUUGAUUCUUUCUCACUGUCAAAGUUUGUUCAGCUCUUCUCUCUCAUAUUUAUUUGUUUGUUUCAGUGUGCUAUGUGCAUCUUGCUGGUGACCCAUGGCCCCCUGUUGUGCUGUCCAUAGAAAGCCUGCACAGGCGGCGGGAGUGGCGGCCAAGAUGAUGGGCGCGGGAGCGGCGCACGUGUGAGCAAUGAUGAGUGUGUCUGCUGCCAACAUGCGAAGAAACUGAACAGGGAAGAGACCCAUGGCCCAGAGUAGUACAUGCAAAUGAAGGAUACCAGAAUUGCCCAUGGAGCAUGAGAUCCUCUUUGUCAGGGGCCACCUUACUUGUAUGGCCUCAGGCUGAGGAGACCCUUCUAAUUAAGGUGGUCACUACUUGCAUAUUUGAACCUAGAAUAGAAUGUCAUUUCGUGUUUGUCAGUAGGAUCUCAUGUUUAAUCUACAGAUCUUUUUAGUCAGUCUAUUUGCAGACCAGUUGCGAGUUAGUACCUGGGAAAAAUGAACAUUUUUCUACCUCAAAUUUGCAUAUCAGUAUCCUUGUCUAAUUUAAGAUUGCUUUUCUUACUAUGAAGAAGAUUUGUGCUGCUGUAGUGUUCUUCAGUUUCUGGUGUUUAGAUGCCAGUUCAUUGUUGAGACAGUUCUGCUAUGUCCGUCUUCUGAAAAAUACAGUAAGUAAAUUUUGUUUUCUGGACAUUGUCGCAGAUCCUAUUCGCCAAAGGAAAAAUAAAUAGAUAUAGAGGUAUAAAUUCAACAAAAAACAUUUUUUGAUUAAAAGGCUAUUCCAUUUGUCACCUACUGUACUUGCCCAUGACUAAAACAAUUAAUACAUGGUUUUCUUUUCAAAGCAUACAUGGAAUUAGUAGGCCUCUGCGCAAUUUGGUGCAACGGGUAUAAUGCUGCCAGGAGAUUAAGUAUAUUCAUGAAGUUGUGCAAAGUUAAAAAUUGGUUGCGCUAUCUCACAUUUGUCAAAUCCUCAUAUGUUGCUGGUAGCCAUGCUUAUGCCCAGAAUAUUAAGUAAGCUUGUGCUAUGCUGUGACUAAAUAAAGCAUUGUUCAGACUUAUCUUUUGUUUGCUCUACUAAGUGUUCAGGGUUUACCCAGAGGGCAAUUAUAUGUUCCCUACUGCCGUCUCCCGCGUGACGUCAAGAAAAUCCCUGAUGUUUCUGUUUUACUUGGCCUAAAUUUUGGUUUUCAAAUAGUUCUGCCUCUCAAUUUGAUAUUUCUACUUGCUUUUGCUUAGUAAUAUGAUGUACUGUUUUCUAGCUCUAGGCCUACUUGUGUUUAAGGUUCAGUUGAUUGUUUUUCUUAAGGGUGUUUUUUUUAAUUAGUGGCAUCAACAUGUGGCACUAAUUCCGUUGUGCAUUGUACUGUGAUUUUUUCAAACAACACCAUUAUGGUAAACAGAGAUGCUAAUGAGAAUAACAGAGAUGCUAAGAGGCAGCCUUUUGGGGUUAAGGAUAUAAACAACAACAUGGCUUAUGAGUCCGAAGAGAGCCCGAGUGGCGUCUUUUGGUUCUUGAAGCCCUGCACUUUCCUGGUGGAGUAGCAGCAAAAUAAUUCAGAGACUUUAAAGCUACUGCUUUUCAUGUAGUUAGGAUCAAUUUUUGGUCUCAGUUUGAAAUACUCUCCACUUCCUCCUAUUUGAUUGAUUUGUCUGAUGGACAUUUUGCCAGGCAAAUAAACAGAAGGCAUAUGUAUUAUUACGAGUGAAGCCAUCCAUACAAGUCAAGAUAUUAAUAAUCCCAUAUGUGGAAUUCGAGAUAUAGAGAAAUGUUAAUAUUCUUCUGCUAAUUGGUUGCUUGACCAAAUAUACUGUAAAUGACAUUAUUAUUGUUCAAGAUAUACAUAAAUGUUGUUGUUCUUCA